rnacentral:pre_miRNA from 1 species
GUAGUAUUCCCUCCAUCCCAAAAUUCUUGUCUUACAUUUUUUUAGAUACGUAUGUAUCUAAUACUAAAAUGUAACUAGAUACAUCCGUAUUUAGACAAAUUUAAGACAAGAAUUUUGGGACGGAGGGAGUACAAA